rnacentral:rRNA from 1 species
UUGAACGCUGGCGGCAGGCCUAACACAUGCAAGUCGAGCGGUAGCACAGAGAGCUUGCUCUCGGGUGACGAGCGGCGGACGGGUGAGUAAUGUCUGGGAAACUGCCUGAUGGAGGGGGAUAACUACUGGAAACGGUAGCUAAUACCGCAUAAUGUCGCAAGACCAAAGUGGGGGACCUUCGGGCCUCAUGCCAUCAGAUGUGCCCAGAUGGGAUUAGCUAGUAGGUGGGGUAACGGCUCACCUAGGCGACGAUCCCUAGCUGGUCUGAGAGGAUGACCAGCCACACUGGAACUGAGACACGGUCCAGACUCCUACGGGAGGCAGCAGUGGGGAAUAUUGCACAAUGGGCGCAAGCCUGAUGCAGCCAUGCCGCGUGUGUGAAGAAGGCCUUCGGGUUGUAAAGCACUUUCAGCGGGGAGGAAGGCGUUAAGGUUAAUAACCUUGGCGAUUGACGUUACCCGCAGAAGAAGCACCGGCUAACUCCGUGCCAGCAGCCGCGGUAAUACGGAGGGUGCAAGCGUUAAUCGGAAUUACUGGGCGUAAAGCGCACGCAGGCGGUCUGUCAAGUCGGAUGUGAAAUCCCCGGGCUCAACCUGGGAACUGCAUUCGAAACUGGCAGGCUAGAGUCUUGUAGAGGGGGGUAGAAUUCCAGGUGUAGCGGUGAAAUGCGUAGAGAUCUGGAGGAAUACCGGUGGCGAAGGCGGCCCCCUGGACAAAGACUGACGCUCAGGUGCGAAAGCGUGGGGAGCAAACAGGAUUAGAUACCCUGGUAGUCCACGCCGUAAACGAUGUCGAUUUGGAGGUUGUGCCCUUGAGGCGUGGCUUCCGGAGCUAACGCGUUAAAUCGACCGCCUGGGGAGUACGGCCGCAAGGUUAAAACUCAAAUGAAUUGACGGGGGCCCGCACAAGCGGUGGAGCAUGUGGUUUAAUUCGAUGCAACGCGAAGAACCUUACCUGGUCUUGACAUCCACAGAACUUUCCAGAGAUGGAUUGGUGCCUUCGGGAACUGUGAGACAGGUGCUGCAUGGCUGUCGUCAGCUCGUGUUGUGAAAUGUUGGGUUAAGUCCCGCAACGAGCGCAACCCUUAUCCUUUGUUGCCAGCGGUUAGGCCGGGAACUCAAAGGAGACUGCCAGUGAUAAACUGGAGGAAGGUGGGGAUGACGUCAAGUCAUCAUGGCCCUUACGACCAGGGCUACACACGUGCUACAAUGGCAUAUACAAAGAGAAGCGACCUCGCGAGAGCAAGCGGACCUCAUAAAGUAUGUCGUAGUCCGGAUUGGAGUCUGCAACUCGACUCCAUGAAGUCGGAAUCGCUAGUAAUCGUAGAUCAGAAUGCUACGGUGAAUACGUUCCCGGGCCUUGUACACACCGCCCGUCACACCAUGGGAGAGGGUUGCAAAAGAAGUAGGUAGCUUAACCUUCGGGAGGGCGCUUACCACUUUGUGAUUCAUGACUGGGGUG